UAUUAAAUUAAAACUUAGCUUAAUUCCUCCACAAGAUCUCCUCACAUACGAAAACCUUUUCGCCCCCAUCGAUCUCUCCUCUGGACGAAAACCUCCUAGGCGAAAACCUUCUCGGCGAAACCCUCUGCUCGGCCAAAACCUCGCUCACCCCCAUCUCUCCACCAAAAGCUCUUCUUAGCGAAAACCUCUGCUCUGCCAAAACCUUGCUUGCCCCCAUCUCUCCGUCAAAACCUCUGGUCAUCUCCUCUGUCCGCCAAAACCAAGCCUCCACCAAAACCUAGCCUCUUUCUCCCGGAAACCUCCAUCUCCUCCCAAAACCUAGCCCCCACAAAAACCUACAUCUCCGCCAAAGCACCACACGUCCCGUGACCUAGCCUCUGCCACUCUUCAGCGACUUGAGGUGUUUAGGACAACCGACGCCGUUGGAAAAGGCUCUUCUCGUGCGACUAGUGAGUCACACGUCUCUUCCUCAUUCUAUUCCCAUAUCAAUAUUGAAUUUAAUGGUGUGUGAUUUCUUUUUUUCCCUUCUAUUCUGUUGUAAAUGUACUUGUAUGUCUUUGAAUAUUGUUGCUUGUAUUAGAUGUAGAAGUGUUCUAUUUUCCCAAUUCCAAUAGGUUCUCAUUCAUUUUUUACUUUCUUUAUUAUGUUUGCUUUUUCCUAAAAUAUAUGAUAAUAUGUCUAUUUUGGUUGUUGUUAUCAACUUUUAUCUAUUGCUGAUUUUGCAUUUUUUUCAAUGGAAGGAAAAAAUUAUAUGAGUUGAUGCAUUGAACUUUUAUGCUUUAUAAGCGUACUGCGACAUCAACAAUGGCUUUUAGCAUUUCAAUAAUUUGUAGAACAUGCCAUAGCCAAAUUUCAAGUUAUAAUAUGUUUGAAACUACAAAUGUUGUGGUAAGCAAUUGUCAGUUAGGAAGUUUUGUUAAGUUGAACAUAUGCUUUCAUCUUUUUAGUUUAACAAUGCUAUUAUGUAAUUAGUACUUAGAGAAAGUAAUAGUACUUGGGAAAAUUGAGUUCAGUCCUAUAUUCUUUCAAAGAUAAUUUAAAUCUUGGAUGCACUUCCUCUUUUCAAUAUGUCGAUGCCUUGGUAUAAACCGUGAAGAAAGUGUAUUCUUUACCCGGCCAGAAGCAUGAUCCUCCUGAAGAGGAACCAUUGAGGAUAUUCUAUGAAUCUCUGUCGAAACAAAUUCCCUCAAGUGAAAUGGCACAAUUUUGAGGAAGCUGAAGAGGAAGAAUGAUUAAUAGUGAUUGCUUGGAACAGACUAAUAGUUUAUGGGCCUUCCAAAUUUUUUCAGAUAUUUUGAAAGUGAAUGGAGGUAUUCAGAAACUCCAGUUAAAUAGCCCAGGUAUGGAUGAUUACAAGAGCAGCAACUACAUGCUAUGUGACACUGCAUCUGAACCCUAAAGGUGUGACUGGGAAGUACUUCGAUAAAGAACUAUUAAGAAGGCUUUAGGAUUUAAGCGAGAAGAUGGUUAAAGCCAAUGAGUAAAGAGCAUUCAAGUCAAGAUGAUAAGUACCAUCUAUUUAGAUCAUUUAAAUUCAUGCAAUAAGAUGUAGUCGAGAGGAGUAGUUUUGAGUGUCCUAAUUUAAAUUCCUUUUUUAAGCAAGAAAUUAUGUUUGUUAUAGAAGUGUAAGGAUGAUAAUUUGUAUAUUUAUCUUGGUUGUUUAUUUAAUUAUAUGUUGUUGAUUGAAA